CAGUAGCCACGGUAAUACAGAGGGUGCGAGCGUUAAUCGGAUUUACUGGGCGUAAAGCGUGCGUAGGCGGCUUCUUAAGUCGGAUGUGAAAUCCCUGAGCUUAACUUAGGAAUUGCAUUCGAUACUGGGAAGCUAGAGUAUGGGAGAGGAUGGUAGAAUUCCAGGUGUAGCGGUUAAAUGCGUAGAGAUCUGGAGGAAUACCGAUGGCGAAGGCAGCCAUCUGGCCUAAUACUGACGCUGAGGUACGAAAGCAUGGGGAGCAAACAGGAUUAGAUACCCGCGUAGUCCCUGUCUCUUAUAC
rnacentral:rRNA from 1 species